rnacentral:rRNA from 1 species
UACGGAGGAUGCGAGCGUUAUCCGGAUUCAUUGGGUUUAAAGGGUGCGCAGGCGGGAGAUUAAGUCGGCGGUGAAAUUUUGCAGCUCAACUGUAAAAGUGCCUUCGAAACUGGUUUCCUUGAGUGUAGAUGAAGUAGGCGGAAUUUGUGGUGUAGCGGUGAAAUGCAUAGAUAUCACGAGGAACUCCGAUUGCGCAGGCAGCUUACUAAACUACUACUGACGCUCAGGCACGAAGGCGUGGGGAUCAAACAGGAUUAGAUACCCG